rnacentral:rRNA from 1 species
UAUGAGGAGAAAAGAAAUUAACAAAGAUUCCUUUAGUAGCGGCGAGCGAAAUUGGAAUAGCCCAACACUUAGUCCCAUAUUUUAUCAGUUAUGGUAAAUGGGAGAUGCAGUGUAUGAAAUGUUAUAGUUGAGCUAAUUGUAAUACGUUCAAGUCCAUCUUGAAUGGGGCCAUUUUACCCAGAGAGGGUGCCAGGCCCGUAGAAGCUAUUACAUAGUAAAACAUGUCAUUUCUAAGAGUCGUGUUGCUUGAUAGUGCAGCACUAAGUUGGUGGUAAACUCCAUCUAAGGCUAAAUAUGACCACGAGACCGAUAGCGAACAAGUACCGUGAGGGAAAGUUGAAAAGCACUCUGAAUAGAGAGUUAAAUAGUACGUGAAACCGCUUAGGGGUUAAACCCGAUGAACCUGAAUAUCUGAAAUGGGAAAUUCAUCAGUGAGUAAUAUAUAUAAAUUUAUUUUUAUGUAUUGGUUGCUGUGCAAUUUUCUCAUAGUAAGACAUUGCAAUUUAUUAGUAAAUAUAUGAAUUUUAUAUUCAUAUGGUUUAUUAUCAGACAAUUUGUUAUAAUGUUUAUGUGAUUUAGUUUUUAUUAACGGUCAUAUAAUAUAACUUGUCUAAAUAAACAGCUGAUAAAUUAAAAUAUGAAAACUAUGCUGUUUUACAACAAUUUUGUUGUUUAUAUACUUGUUUUGCAAUAUUUAUAUUGUAUGCAAGAGUUUAUUAGCAUAUGUUUGAUUAGCAAUGCGAUAGAUUUGGGAUACCUUCGGGACCCGUCUUGAAACACGGACCAAGAAGUCUAACAUAUGUGCAAGUCAUUGGGUAAUUUAUUGAAACCUAAAGGCGUAAUUAAUAUAACUAUUAAAUAAUGGGAUUAGAAGUGAAUAUACUACCAUUUAUUCAUUUUUCCAUCCCGGGGCGUUCAUUUAACAUAGUUUAAGCAAUUAAACUCACUGUAAAGGCGUACUUGACA